rnacentral:lncRNA from 1 species
UAGGCGGCCGGGAGCGCAUGUGUAGCGAGCGAGAGGGUGGCGCAAGACGAUCACGUUCCGGCUUACAUGUUGCCAAAGAGUUUAACGUCCACUAGGACGGGUCCCUCAUAUUGAACGGUCAAAGACUAUCUCGCCUAGGAUCGGAAUGAGAGACGGCUCUAGCCGCUCUCAGACGCGACCUAUAUCCUCUCUCGGAUCACCCGUACUCCGGCCUCCCAUGCAAUACACCGUGUCGGGCCAACCAACCUCGGGCACGUUCCCCUAUUCCCACACGCCAAAACCACACCCAAAUCACUCAGUCACACGAUAUGCACGGUCACACGCCAGGUCACGACAAGCACCCAGACAAUUAGUUAGGGUUUGUUCAGGUUGGCUCGCCAACCCUCAGGGGGGCGACGGCACGAUUAGGGUUGUUGAGGUCGGCCGCACCAACAGGUGUGAUUCUGUGCAUCAUUACUGGGGCGAGCGGUGUCGCUUGAGAGGUUGUCGCACUAGUACUGACCACCGUUCGUCUAAAACAACACUUUUGCAGUUUGCUGGGGCGCCUUCGUGUUUCUCCUUGCACGCUCUAUGAUGGCCCCAGAGCUGUGCUGGCAUUAUAUUGCACGUUGUUUUAUUGCAUACAGGGAAUUCGCUCCUGUACCACAACGCAGUGUUUGACCUCGAGCUCAGCGUCGCUGCAUUCACUCUUGUGCCCUGGCAAGACGAUCAUAUAUAUAAGGCGGGAUAUGGAAGCGAUAGCACUAAAUUGCAUAACUAAACUCGUAGCGUAGCGCAAGCGCACAGAAUUGCGCCACACUUUGUCUGCGACCCGUAGAUAGCUCUGCAAAGAAUUUAACAAUAGAGCACCGGGACUAGAUUGUCAGCUCUCGCACACACACAAGGCGUCGCACCGCCCGAAACUGUGAAACCGAGGACGCAGCAGAGGUGGUUAAGCUGGGUGCGGCCAUGCGCUUUGUUCCGCUGUUUUGUUAUACUUAAUGAGGCCAUCGCGCGAUACCUGGAGCUGCCGGUUUUGGUGCGUGAAGCCGUAGCUAAGUUCGGCGGAGUUCUGAAUCUCGGUUACGUCCUUGCAGGGCCGACUCAUACCCUACAACAAGGUGCCAUGCAACUGUCUGCUCCGUGACGCGCACAUUUAUACAAUAACCUGCUGUUAGUUACUGAUAUGCCCCAGGGUAAUUAAGGGAGAUACAAUUCGCGCCCUUGAACUAGGCCUCCAUCGUCCCGACAAGUAUAGGCAUCAAUUGUGUACUCUCCAGAGUUCUCACGAUGUUCCUACGCCUAAGAGCAUGUUUUCGGGGAAUUGAGGAGGCGGCAACCUGCGCGCAACAGUGCGGCCUGUAAUUUCGCGAAAGACUCUUCAGCUUCUGGGAGCCGCUUGCAAGUGGUCACAGCCUUCCGGGAUGAUGACGAGUUUCGGUCCAGGCCAUGUCACGACAUUCGCACCGCUCGCCGCUGCUUGGAAGCUCCCAUCGAUCCCAAAAACCUUGCCCACAUGGGCGAGACCGGAUUCCUAGGUUCCCGCGCGUGUUUCCAGCGGCAGUCCACGCCGGACGUACUCACCCCAACGUGCGAUGUCCACGACACCACCCCGAUGGCUGAAAUCGACGUGCAGCUGAGGUGCGCUGCCCACCCAUGCUUCAUGGGUGUCCUUGAGUUCACUGUCCAGCAGCUGUUGGUCCAGCUUAUGCAACAGGCCAGCGCCGCAACUGGUUGUAGAGCACGGACACUGACUCCUGGUCUGAUGUCCACGCACACGCAGGUGCUCCGCCGUCCCGGCCCCGCGCACCGAGGUUCCCAACGCAGCUUCAAGGCCUGGCCGCGCCGCACCCAGCGCCGGCAGCCACCUCAGGCCAGCUUUGCCGCCGUCCCUGACGCUCCUGGCAGCGCAGGGCAGCAGCGGCGCAGCGGAGAGCAGGCUCCUGGCCAAACUUGUAUACAGCACCCUGCGGCCUACAGCCCCCGAGUCACAAGGGGCUGACGGCGCUGGCGGCAGUGCUGCAGCCGCAGUAGCGACCAUUUGCACGACGGCAGCUGCUACAGCCGCCGAUACCGGCGGCUACAAGCUACCAGCUGCAGACAGCGCCAGCAUGAACGGCGAGUGCCCGCAGCUGGAUUCCAGCCUCUCUGUCGGUGGUGCCCGAGUGAAUGGCGGUGAUACAGGCGGCAACGGUGCAGGGCUGUACAUGGGCGGCGAUAAUGACACUGAGGAGCUAGCCAUGGCAGCGGCCACGCCGGCUGCUGCCCCUGCGGCUGCUGCUGUGCCCGCUACGGCGGCCGCGACGCCUGUGUUGCACCUGCAAAUUCCCAGGUCGUUAUCAGAGCCCACUCCGACCGGAAGGUGCCUGCACCGCUGCGGUACGCUGCCGACGGUGAUGCCGGUGGCAGCCGAGGUGGCAGCGGCGGAGCUUGCACCGGCGGUUGCAGCCGCAGUAGCGGCCACUGAGCCGCUCCCGCGCUCGGUGCAGCACGUGACCACCGUCGCCCCGCGCCUCCAACUGCCGCGGGAUGGCGUGGCCGCCGCCUCCGCCGCAGCCGCCGCGUCAAGCGCGUGCAACGGCCACGCUGCUGCAAGCGCCGAGCAGCAGCAGGUGCUGCCGCCGGCGCUGCUGUCUCGGCGGCGCCAUCCCCGUGUAGCGAGCCGGGUCCAGGGGCCUGUUCUGGCGGCCACGUGCGACCGCAUCGCCGCUGUUGAUGACGUGGGCGUGGCGCCAACGGAUACGGCAGCGGCGGCUGCGGGCGCUGCUGGCGGGUACGGCUCUCACGUGUACACGGACGCGGCUGGCCUGGACGGCGACGAUGAAGAAGACGACGAGGAUGCUGACGAGGACGCAGCGGAUGAGGAUGCGGAUGAGAACGAGAUGAGCCACGUGAUCCGCCACGUGAUGCGGAUGGCCCGCCGGCACCACGUGCAGGAGUCACGCGCAGCAUGCAGCAGGCUGCUGCAGGUUCUGGAACCCGCCGGCCGUGGCAACGCUGCUGGCGCCUCUGCCAGCGGCUCGGCUGCUACUGGAGCUGCCGCCGGCUCCAAACUGGCCGGAACAGCACCGACCAUGCCUGUUGCGGAACCGGUUGCGGCAACAGUCGUGGAGGCCGCUGCUGCGCAUGCGAGCCACCUGAAGUGCAGCAGCAGCUCAGCUGGCGGCGGCGGGGACAGUGACGAGGCACAGCGGGCUAGCUACAGCCUUAGCGCCCUGCACUACGGCAAUAGCAUUGCUGCCAUGGCGGUCGGCAAUGGGGCCUCGUUCUGCGCCAUUUCGUCUUGCGAGGUCGCCUCGGAGGAUGUGUCCGCCGAAAUGGCUGCCCUGGCUGCGGCGAUGGCGCAGCAGCAGCAGCAGCAGCAGCAGCCGGGUCAGGCGGUGGCGGCAGCUGCUGCAGCUGGCGGUCUGGCGCUGGUAGGCGGCGGCAGCGUCGCUGGCGCGGAAGUGGGCGGCUGGGUCGAGCGCGUAAGCCGCACGUCCCUCAACGAGGCCCUGCAUGAUCGGCAGCGGGAGGUGGCGGCCGGACUGGCGGCUGCAGCGGCCGCGGCUCGAGGCCCCAGCGGCGGUGCUGCAGCGGCAGUGCCGGAACGUGAUCGUCUUGCGCCACCCUCUCGCUCGCUACACAUGCGCUCCCGGCCGCCUACGCCGUGGCCAACAGUUUGCAGAUCUGUUAUGUCGGCCUCUGCAACUGGCCGUGUUGGCCACGGUGUAGGCUGCCUGGAGCGCAUGCGUAGCGAGCGAGAGGGUGGCGCAAGACGAUCACGUUCCGGCUUACAUGUUGCCAAAGAGUUUAACGUCCACUAGGACGGGUCCCUCAUAUUGAACGGUCAAAGACUAUCUCGCCUAGGAUCGGAAUGAGAGACGGCUCUAGCCGCUCUCAGACGCGACCUAUAUCCUCUCUCGGAUCACCCGUACUCCGGCCUCCCAUGCAAUACACCGUGUCGGGCCAACCAACCUCGGGCACGUUCCCCUAUUCCCACACGCCAAAACCACACCCAAAUCACUCAGUCACACGAUAUGCACGGUCACACGCCAAGUCACGACAAGCACCCAGACAAUUAGUUAGGGUUUGUUCAGGUUGGCUCGCCAACCCUCAGGGGGGCGACGGCACGAUUAGGGUUGUUGAGGUCGGCCGCACCAACAGGUGUGAUUCUGUGCAUCAUUACUGGGGCGAGCGGUGUCGCUUGAGAGGUUGUCGCACUAGUACUGACCACCGUUCGUCUAAAACAACACUUUUGCAGUUUGCUGGGGCGCCUUCGUGUUUCUCCUUGCACGC